GGCUCAGGACGAACGCUGGCGGCGUGCUUAACACAUGCAAGUCGAGCGGAAAGGCCCCUUCGGGGGUACUCGAGCGGCGAACGGGUGAGUAACACGUGAGGAACCUGCCCUUAGCUCUGGGAUAGCUCCGGGAAACCGGGAUUAAUACCGGAUACGACCACAGCCGGCCUCGGCUGCGGUGGAAAGAUUUAUCGGCUAGGGAUGGUCUCGCGGCCUAUCAGCUUGUUGGUGAGGUAACGGCUCACCAAGGCGACGACGGGUAGCCGGCCUGAGAGGGCGACCGGCCACACUGGGACUGAGACACGGCCCAGACUCCUACGGGGGGCAGCAGUGGGGAAUAUUGCGCAAUGGGCGAAAGCCUGACGCAGCAACGCCGCGUGGGGGAUGAAGGCCUUCGGGUUGUAAACCCCUUUCAGCAGGGACGAAGCGAAAGUGACGGUACCUGCAGAAGAAGCGCCGGCUAACUACGUGCCAGCAGCCGCGGUAAUACGUAGGGCGCAAGCGUUGUCCGGAAUCAUUGGGCGUAAAGAGCUCGUAGGUGGUCUGUUACGUCUGCUGUGAAAACCUAGGGCUUAACCCUGGGCCUGCAGUGGAUACGGGCAGACUAGAGGUAGGUAGGGGAGAAUGGAAUUCCCGGUGUAGCGGUGAAAUGCGCAGAUAUCGGGAGGAACACCGGUGGCGAAGGCGGUUCUCUGGGCCUUACCUGACACUGAGGAGCGAAAGCGUGGGGAGCGAACAGGAUUAGAUACCCUGGUAGUCCACGCCGUAAACGUUGAGCGCUAGGUGUGGGGUCCUUCCACGGAUUCCGUGCCGCAGCUAACGCAUUAAGCGCCCCGCCUGGGGAGUACGGCCCGCAGGCUAA
rnacentral:rRNA from 1 species